UGAAGGUGUAGUUCAGUGGUAGACUGCUUGCCUAGUAUGCAGGAGACCCUGGGUUUGAUUUCCAGCACUGCAA
rnacentral:tRNA from 1 species